rnacentral:tRNA from 1 species
GAGGUCAUAGCUCAAUGAUAGAGUUCUUGCCUAGCAUGCAGGAGGCCUUGAGUUCCAUCCUCGGAACUACA